UGCAGUCGAACGGAACUGUUUUGAAGAUUUCUUCGGAAUGAAUUUGAUUUAGUUUAGUGGCGGACGGGUGAGUAACGCGUGAGUAACCUGCCUUCAAGGGGGGGAUAACAUUCUGAAAAGAAUGCUAAUACCGCAUGAUAUAUCGGAAUCACAUGAUUUUGAUAUCAAAGAUUUUAUCGCUUGAAGAUGGACUCGCGUCCGAUUAGUUAGUUGGUGAGGUAACGGCUCACCAAGACCGCGAUCGGUAGCCGGACUGAGAGGUUGAACGGCCACAUUGGGACUGAGACACGGCCCAGACUCCUACGGGAGGCAGCAGUGGGGGAUAUUGCGCAAUGGGGGCAACCCUGACGCAGCAACGCCGCGUGAAGGAUGAAGGUUUUCGGAUUGUAAACUUCUUUUAUUAAGGACGAAAAUUGACGGUACUUAAUGAAUAAGCUCCGGCUAACUACGUGCCAGCAGCCGCGGUAAUACGUAGGGAGCAAGCGUUGUCCGGAUUUACUGGGUGUAAAGGGUGCGUAGGCGGCUUUGCAAGUCAGAUGUGAAAUCUAUGGGCUCAACCCAUAAACUGCAUUUGAAACUGUAGAGCUUGAGUGAAGUAGAGGCAGGCGGAAUUCCCCGUGUAGCGGUGAAAUGCGUAGAGAUGGGGAGGAACACCAGUGGCGAA
rnacentral:rRNA from 1 species